rnacentral:rRNA from 1 species
GAGUUUGAUCAUGGCUCAGAUUGAACGCUGGCGGCAUGCCUAACACAUGCAAGUCGAACGGGAGUAGCAAUACUCUAGUGGCGGACGGGUGAGGAAUACAUAGGAAUUUGCCCUUAAGUGGGGGAUAGUCCGGGGAAACUCGGUUUAAUACCGCAUGAUCUCGUGAGAGCAAAGCAGGGGACCGCAAGGCCUUGCGCUUUUGGAGAAGCCUAUGUCGGAUUAGCUAGUUGGUGAGGUAAUGGCUCACCAAGGCGACGAUCCGUAACUGGUCUGAGAGGAUGAUCAGUCACACCGGAACUGAGACACGGUCCGGACUCCUACGGGAGGCAGCAGUGGGGAAUAUUGGACAAUGGGCGAAAGCCUGAUCCAGCAAUGCCGCGUGUGUGAAGAAGGCCUUCGGGUUGUAAAGCACUUUAGGUUGGGAAGAAAAAAUUCGGGCGAAUAUCCCGAGUCUUGACGGUACCGACAGAAUAAGCACCGGCUAACUCUGUGCCAGCAGCCGCGGUAAUACAGAGGGUGCUAGCGUUAAUCGGAUUUACUGGGCGUAAAGCGUGCGUAGGCGGUUUGUUAAGUCGGAUGUGAAAGCCCCGGGCUCAACCUGGGAAUUGCAUUCGAUACUGGCAGACUAGAGAACGGUAGAGGGAGGCGGAACUCCAGGUGUAGCGGUGAAAUGCGUAGAUAUCUG